GGGAAUAUUGCAAAAUGGGCGAAAGCUCGAUGCAGCAACGCCGCGUGGGCGAUGAAGGUCUUCGGGUCGUAAAGCCCUUUUUGAGGGGAUGAGGAAGGACAGUACCCUCAGAAUAAGCCUCGGCUAACUACGUGCCAGCAGCCGCGGUAAAACGUAGGAGGCGAGCGUUAUCCGGAUUUACUUGGCGUAAAGCGCGUGCAGGCGGAUUGGAGAGUUGGAUGUGAAAGCUCCCGGAUUAACUGGGAGAGGUCGUUCAAUACUUCCAGUCUUGAGUGCAGUAGAGGGAAGUGGAAUUCCGGGUGUAGUGGUGAAAUGCGUAGAUAUCCGGAGGAACACCAGUGGCGAAAGCGGAUUCCUAGACUGUAACUGACGCUCAGACGCGAAAGCUAGGAUAGCAAACG
rnacentral:rRNA from 1 species